rnacentral:hammerhead_ribozyme from 1 species
AUCCAACUGACGAGUCCCAAAUAGGACGAAACGCGCGUUCUCGAU